CUUCACAAUAUAGAUAAAAUAGCAUUUUGAACCAUUGAUGACUGAUAGAGACAAAAAUAGUCAUCUUGUCCAGUACAAGACAAACUUUUGGAAAGAAAAAUAAUAGAGGCAGUGGUGAAUUUGCAAAGGUGCUGGAAAACACUAGCUCCUAUCUAAAUCAUGCCAAAAUCCAAAGAUUCAAACAAAUUUAGAUGUCAACACCCUUUUUUUAUAAGUUUGCACUGAAAAAAGGAUGCAUCAACAAUGAUAUGGAAUAGAAGCAAUGCCAUCUAAAUAACAAAAACAGAACUUGUAUGACAAAUUAUCAGAAUCCUAACCUGCAUUUUUAUACGAUGGCCAUCCAUAUGAUGAUCCAAGAAAAUACUGAUUUUCAAU
rnacentral:misc_RNA from 1 species